rnacentral:rRNA from 1 species
UACGUAGGCAGCAAGCGUUGUUCGGAAUUACUGGGCGUAAAGAGUGUGUAGGCGGUGCUCUAAGUUCGGUGUGAAAUCUCCCGGCUCAACUGGGAGGGUGCGCCGGAAACUGGAGUGCUGGAGCGCGGGAGAGGAAAGCGGAAUUCCUGGUGUAGCGGUGAAAUGCGUAGAUAUCAGGAGGAACACCGGCGGUGUAGACGGCUUUCUGGACCGUAGCUGACGCUGAGACACGAAAGCGUGGGUAGCAAACAGG